rnacentral:rRNA from 1 species
UACGUAGGAUGCAAGCGUUGUUCGGAAUUACUGGGCGUAAAGCGUAUGUAGGCGGUUGUAUAAGUCUUUUAUUAAAGACCGAAGCUUAACUUCGGGAGUGUAAAGGAAACUGUAUAACUAGAGGUCAGAAGGGGAAAUCGGAAUUCUUAGUGUAGCGGUGAAAUGCGUAGAUAUUAGGAAGAACACCGGUGGCGAAAGCGGAUUUCUGGUCUGAAACUGACGCUGAGAUACGAAGGUGUGGGGAGCAAACAUU